rnacentral:rRNA from 1 species
AACGAACGCUGGCGGCAGGCUUAACACAUGCAAGUCGAGCGCGUAGCAAUACGAGCGGCAGACGGGUGAGUAACGCGUGGGAACGUACCCUUUUCUACGGAAUAACCCAGGGGAACUUGGACUAAUACCGUAUACGCCCUUCGGGGGAAAGAUUUAUCGGAGAAGGAUCGGCCCGCGUUGGAUUAGCUAGUUGGUGGGGUAAAGGCCUACCAAGGCGACGAUCCAUAGCUGGUCUGAGAGGAUGAUCAGCCACAUUGGGACUGAGACACGGCCCAAACUCCUACGGGAGGCAGCAGUGGGGAAUAUUGGACAAUGGGCGCAAGCCUGAUCCAGCCAUGCCGCGUGAGUGAUGAAGGCCUUAGGGUUGUAAAGCUCUUUCACCGGGGAAGAUAAUGACGGUACCCGGAGAAGAAGCCCCGGCUAACUUCGUGCCAGCCGCCGCAGUAA